rnacentral:rRNA from 1 species
UACAGAGGUCUCAAGCGUUGUUCGGAUUCAUUGGGCGUAAAGGGUGCGUAGGCGGCGGGGCAAGUCUGAUGUGAAAUCCCGGGGCUCAACCCUGGAACUGCAUUGGAUACUGCCUUGCUUGAGUGCUGGAGAGGAGACUGGAAUUUACGGUGUAGCAGUGAAAUGCGUAGAUAUCGUAAGGAAGGCCAGUGGCGAAGGCGAGUCUCUGGACAGCUACUGACGCUGAGGCACGAAGGCCAGGGAGCAAACGGG